UACGGGGGGGGCAAGCGUUGUUCGGAAUUACUGGGCGUAAAGGGCUCGUAGGUGGCCAACUAAGUCGGACGUGAAAUCCCUCAGCUUAACUGGGGAACUGCGUCCGAUACUGGAUGGCUUGAGUUUGGGAGAGGGAUGCGGAAUUCCAGGUGUAGCGGUGAAAUGCGUAGAUAUCUGGAGGAACACCGGUGGCGAAGGCGGCAUCCUGGACCAACACUGACACUGAGGAGCGAAAGCCAGGGGGAGCAAACGGG
rnacentral:rRNA from 1 species